CUUCAGGGGCUCCCUGAUGGACUCAGUUCAUUUGAAAGAUCAGGAAGACGAACACGAAACCAAAGUUCCUAAAAACAAAACACAGAGGAGAAGUGUUCAGUGGGCGGGACACAGUGAUCAGUGCUGAGUGUGUAUAUGAGUGUGUGCACUGCUGUGUUGUGCAGACUGGUUGGAACUGUGGUUACAUACAGAAGGGCUUCAUGUCAGCUGCUGAAAAGAGAGAAGAUGAUCCUGCUGCUCCUCAUCCUCACCUCCUCAGCAGCAGCACUUGAAGUGAAGGAGACACAGAGCUCCUAUCAGGCAGAGGAGAACCACAACAUCACACUGGAGUGGACGUUCACCACAGACACUCAGACUAAGACUGAGGACAUUUAUGUCUACUGUCAACAUUUAACCAAAAAAGAAUCAGUCCUGUAUCUGGUCCAUGCUGGUGUUGAGCUCUCAGAGUCUGUGGAUGAAGGUUUUUCAGGAAGAGUCCAGAGUGACACAGACGCCCUCAGAGAAGGACGAAUCAGACUUCAUCUGUCCAGACUCAGGACUGAAGACUCUGGUCUGUAUGUGUGUGAUGUGAGGACAGCUUCUGGUUCUGGUUCUUCCAGCUGUGAGCUCACAGUCUCUGCAGCUGCUGCUCAGACACACACUGACAGACCAGCUCUGAGUCCAGCUCUGAGUCCACCUCUGAGUCCAGCUCUGAGACCAGCUCUGAGUCCACCAGCAGACACAGGAGGACAAUGGACAGUCCUCAUCAUUGGACUGACAGCAGCAGCAGGUCUCCUGGUUGUCUUUGUGGUUACAGUUUGUUUUCUUAUGAGACACAGAAAGAGAAACUAACAGCAGAGUCACUGUGUAGUUCUUUGCUGUUGUCUCUGAGUGAUGGACUGACUCUGUCCACAGCUCUUCCAGAGGUCGGCCAUGCUGUGUGUUGUUUCAGCUUCAUUACAGACUGAGACAGAUAUGUUAUUUAUU
rnacentral:lncRNA from 1 species